rnacentral:rRNA from 1 species
UGAGCAAUCUGCCCUUCUCAUCGGAAUAAGCGUUGGAAACGACGUCUAAUGCCGAAUACGACCUCCUUUCGCAUGACCGGAGGUGGAAAGCUCCGGCGGAGAAGGAUGAGCUCGCGGCCUAUCAGCUAGUUGGUGUGGGUAAUGGCCCACCAAGGCGACGACGGGUAGCCGGCCUGAGAGGGUGACCCGGCCACACUGGGACUGAGACACGGCCCAGACUCCGUAGGGAGCAGCG